GGCGAGGCGUGACCAGGGCACCAUAAAUACUCGUUCACACGAGCGAGUCGACACAAUCCCUACUUCAGAUCAGAGAAACCAAUACUCCAUAACCAUAGUCCAAAACCAAAGCUAAAGCCAUGUGGAGAAGACUCUCUACACAGCUCCACCGCUUCUUCGCCGCCGCCGCCAACAUCUCUUCUCCCUGGCGGUCUCCGUCGCCGUUUCGGCCAUCCACCAUACUCUAUUCUCGCUCCGUCGCUUCCAAUUACGGUACAAAGGCAGCUGGAUCCUUUAACCACCAUGGGAUACAAUACUCAACUACUGUUCCAAAUGAUCCGGACAUACACAAGGACUUCAGACCCACUAAUAAGCUUGAGAGUUCUGGCCUUUCUUUGAAGGAUAUUGUAGAGCAGGAUGCCAAGGACAACCCAGUGAUGCUUUACAUGAAAGGGGUGCCUGAUCUUCCCCGAUGUGGAUUCAGCUCACUAUCUGUAAGAGUGUUGAAGGAAUAUAAUGUUCAUUUGAGUGCCAGAAACAUAUUGGAAGGUCCUGAGCUUAAGAAUGCUGCCAAAGCAUACAGUUGUGUUGAGGCAGAAAAUUCGUUCCAAGAAGCAUGAUAUUGGAAUCAGAGAGUAUAUCCAUUUUCGUUUAACAUACUGUGGCAGCAAUUCAAAGAAUUUCCUUAGGCGGCAUUUGAAUAGCAUUCAUUUCAAGUGGAUUUAGAAAUUACUUAAUUGAAUGAUCCUUAUCCAGCAGUGGCUAAGAAUACAUGGCCACAGCAGCAUAUGUUCAGAAGCCCGUUAAUUGAUCAAAUUUCCUUUAUUUUAACUUUCAAUAUUUAGGCUUUGUUUGGAAAUUGGUUAUUUUAGUUGGUUUUUUUGGCUUUUUACGAAACGACGUGUGAAAAAGUUGAGAGAGAUGUGAUUGGGUGAUUUGUUUUCAAAAGAUACAUGAAAUAUAAAUGGUUGAGAUUCAGGUAUAUGAAAUAUUUUUUUCAAAAGAUAGCUUAGCUUGAUAGACAUGGCCAAAUCUUGAAUGAAUUUUUUAGGAUGCUGUUUAUGUCAAAUAUCCACGAUGUUGCCUGUGAAUCAGUUACACAUGUUUUUGGGAUUAUUUGUGAAAAGUGCGCUCAAUUGUCAUAUUUUAGUGAUACAAAUUACUAUCAAGAAUUUGCAAAUGGAAUUGCUGUUUAAGCCAUGUACUGAUCAUUACCUACCUAGCAACCCAUUUGGUCCAAAGUCGAUAAAACAUGUAGUUUGUUUGUGCUUGUUUCAAUUAGUCGUGUGGUCUAUCCUUACAGCAACUGGCCCACAUUUCCACAAAUAUUUAUCAAGGGGGAGUUCAUCGGAGGAUCAGACAUCAUUCUCAACAUGCACCAGACUGGCGAGCUGAAGGAAAUGCUUAAAGAUACUGCCGCCAACUAGGAGAGGUCGGAGUAACUCAUGAUUAUUGGCUAUGUAUGGUUACGUAAGAGUUUGGAGUUGUCUUUGAUGUUUUAAUUUCUUUUGUGGUAAUAUAAGCACGUUAAAUUUAUGUCCUGUUAACAGACCCUGCUUUAGUGGGAAGUUCAAGCACUGAGUCACUCCUUUUUAAGCAUGUUAAACCAUAAAUAAUUGUUGAUUUAAUCCAACAAUGGUUCGCACAAGUAUGGAUUCAAAAAUUGUAUAUGUAUCACAUUACUCCAUGUAAAUUUACACUCAAAAUUAUAUAUAUUACUGCAGCCCACCUUUUAUUUUGGUGUAUAGUACAAUGAAACAACUCAAGCUGGUACAAUAUUUAGCACAAUACACACAGCACAACUAAAGGAAAUUAUCUUUCUGUCUCUCUUCAAAUCUAAUAACACAUGAUCACACUGCUGCUUCUUAUUUCUUCAAUUCAGAGGACUGCUAAAAUUCAUGACUGACAGAGGAAGAAUCUAUCUAUCCACUAGUCGUUGCAAUUUCAGGGGUACUGACAUGCUCAACAAUGGCCACAUGAUGAUAAUGUUCCUUGCCGUGACCUCCAGGUUUGCCAUGGCAAUGGUGCCUUUUGCCAGGACUGCCACCUCCGUGACCAUGAUGUCUCCCACCAUGAUCGUGACGUCCUCCAUGGUGACAACCACCACGGCCACCAUGUCCGCGAUAACCGUGACUAUGCUGAUGAAUAUGAUGUCCCCAGCCAUGACCGUGGUGUUGGUAAAUAAGAUGUCCCCAGCCGUGACCGUGAUGCCCUCCGACGUGACAAGCUGCACCUCCGUGAUGUCCACCGGGACUGUGGUGUCCUAAGUUGUGAACACCAUGAUAGAAUGGAUGAUGAUGUUCACCGCACCCAGACAUCUUUGUUGUUCAAGUGUUUGUCUAAAUCUCUGAAGAUUGCUUGGUGAAUGAAUAUUGUGUGAGGAGUGACAAUGCUGGGAGCUCAGAUAUUUAUAGGCAAAAUGGGCUGAGUGGUCGGUUAUGCUUUUACUUGGAGUGUACCUUUUUUUUCUUGGGGAGCAAGAGAACGGAGGAGAGAGACUUACAGAUAUGAACAUGUGACCUUUAUUCAUGUGUUUGUCAUAAGUUUAUUCGUGUUCUCCAAGAAAUAAUUAUGGGAUUGAAUGACGAUUGGGACUCUUCUCUCCUAACA